rnacentral:rRNA from 1 species
GACGAACGCUGGCGGCGUGCCUAAUACAUGCAAGUGGGACGCAAGGGAACACACUGUGCUUGCACACCGUGUUUUCUUGAGUCGCGAACGGGUGAGUAACGCGUAGGUAACCUGCCUAUUAGCGGGGGAUAACUAUUGGAAACGAUAGCUAAUACCGCAUAAUAUUAAUUAUUGCAUGAUAAUUGAUUGAAAGAUGCAAGCGCAUCACUAGUAGAUGGACCUGCGUUGUAUUAGCUAGUUGGUAAGGUAAGAGCUUACCAAGGCGACGAUACAUAGCCGACCUGAGAGGGUGAUCGGCCACACUGGGACUGAGACACGGCCCAGACUCCUACGGGAGGCAGCAGUAGGGAAUCUUCGGCAAUGGACGAAAGUCUGACCGAGCAACGCCGCGUGAGUGAAGAAG